UCAGUUCUGCCUAUAAUCAAUGGGCCAGUACAAUUUGCAUGGCAUGGCAUGGAGAGCCUAAAUGGGCCGGGGCCUAAUACAUUGGUACUGCUAUCAGUCUAUCACACACAUAAAGAACGUUAGUAGCGGUUUUUGAAUCACGGAAAUGCAGAGAAUUAGGUGGCCUUACACAGCAAACAUGAACAACAUGACAUCUCAACAUUACUAGUAAAUCUCUGAGAUUUUCUAAAAAGGAAAAACUAAAUCUCUGAAAGAAGAUUGAUCAGAGAAGCACGGGGUUCAUAGAAGGCCUC
rnacentral:lncRNA from 1 species